rnacentral:rRNA from 1 species
CAGUCGCCGCGGGAAUACGAAGGGUGCAAGCGUUACUCGGAAUUACUGGGCGUAAAGCGUGCGUAGGUGGUUGUUUAAGUCUGUUGUGAAAGCCCUGGGCUCAACCUGGGAAUUGCAGUGGAUACUGGGCAACUAGAGUGUGGUAGAGGGUAGUGGAAUUCCCGGUGUAGCAGUGAAAUGCGUAGAGAUCGGGAGGAACAUCCAUGGCGAAGGCAGCUACCUGGACCAACACUGACACUGAGGCACGAAAGCGUGGGGAGCAAACAGGAUUAGAUACCCGCGUAGUCCCUGUCUCUUAUAC